rnacentral:lncRNA from 1 species
UCUUGGAUGUCUGAGUCAUUUUACCGAUUGAUCCAUCACCGCUUGGAUAUAAAUAUCCUAUCUCUAGUUGGAUGUCGGAAAUAAUAUAUCAGAGGGGUCCUCUCUCCACUUGGAUAUUGAAAUAUCCUAACACCGAAAUUUAUAAAUGCAUGAACAUAUGACUCACCAAAUGCAUACGUUCAUACAAAACAUCACCAUUUUUACACCAAUCAUUGACUCCAUAAU